ACUGUGAACCUGGUUGUUUCUUGCGCGUCCUCAACAACAACAACAACAACACAGUUUGCAUAUUUUGCGACUCAGCAUCUGUGGACCUGGAGAACGCCACCGUCUGCACCUACAGUACGGACCUCGGCAGUGUUUGACUACACGGUCGAUCGGAGGAAUCACACAACUGUCACCACUGUCAACCCUACCAUUGGAGGGCCAGGUGUGGCGGCCUCUCUUCUUCUGGGAACGCUGUUGAUCAGCCUGUUCCUGAUCCUGUCUGUUGCUUCUUUUUUC